ACUUCAUAAUUAACCAAUCAAUUAAUACUCUUAAUCAAAUUAAACCCUCUUUUGCUAGAGUUGGAAAGCUAAGUUUUCAAGGAAUGAAGCCAAUUGCAGCCUUUCUUCUUAUUUUCUUGCUUGCCUUGACAUUAGAGGGGGUGGGUCCAAGAGUGGCAGAAGGAUUCUUGUUUAGAAAGAAAUGCAAUAUUCCAAGUGUAAGGUACAAAGGGCCAUGCGCAACUGACUCCGACUGUAACGCCGUUUGCAAAUCGGAGGGAAUGAAAUCUGGAGAUUGCCAUGGCAUUCGUAGAAGAUGCCUUUGUUGUCGUCGUUAGACUAAGUACUCUCCCCGUCCCGAAAUUAAUAGUCAUUAAUGUAACUAGUAAAACCACAUCAAUGAAGCUUAGAGGGAGUACGACUAUCUAUCUAUAUAUCUAGCUAGCUCCAUGUACUACCAUUGUAACUUUAUGUAUGUUUCACUACCAAAACAGUAUCUUUUCUAUGUAAUUAUCUUAAAUCAAUUCAAUCUAAAUAAAGCUCGAAAUUCAAGUCAA